rnacentral:tRNA from 3 species
GGCCACGUGGCGGAGUGGUUACGCAGCGGAUUGCAAAUCCGUGUACGGGGGUUCGAUUCCCUCCGUGGCCUCCA